rnacentral:rRNA from 1 species
UGGGGAAUUUUGGACAAUGGGCGAAAGCCUGAUCCAGCAAUGCCGCGUGUGUGAAGAAGGCCUUCGGGUUGUAAAGCGCUUUUGUCCGGAAAGAAAUCCUUGGCUCUAAUACAGUCGGGGGAUGACGGUACCGGAAGAAUAAGCACCGGCUAACUACGUGCCAGCAGCCGCGGUAAUACGUAGGGUGCAAGCGUUAAUCGGAAUUACUGGGCGUAAAGCGUGCGCAGGCGGUUUGCUAAGACCGAUGUGAAAUCCCGGGCUCAACCUGGGAACUGCAUUGGUGACUGGCAGGCUAGAGUAUGGCAGAGGGGGGUAGAAUUCCACGUGUAGCAGUGAAAUGCGUAGAGAUGUGGAGGAAUACCGAUGGCGAAGGCAGCCCCCUGGGCCAAUACUGACGCUCAUGCACGAAAGCGUGGGGAGCAAACAGGAUUAGGAUACCCCUGGUAGUCCACGCCCUAAACGAUGUCAACUAGUUGUUGGGGAUUCAUUUCCUUAGUAACGUAGCUAACGCGUGAAGUUGACCGCCUGGGGAGUACGGUCGCAAGAUUAAAACUCAAAUGAAUUGACGGGGUCAUAGCUGUUUCCU